rnacentral:lncRNA from 13 species
CUGAUUCUGAGCCCUUCAGACUUGGGCUGAACCACACUACCAGCAUCCCAGAGCCACCUGUUUGCUGAUGGCCUGCUGAGAGACUUCCCACCCUCCAUAAUCAUAGUCUCAAUCUGUUGCCAAGGCUCGAGUGUCGUGGCUACAUCUCAGCUUACUGCUGCAACCUCUGCCUCCUGGGUUCAAGUGAUUCUCCUGCCUCAGCCUCCUGAGUAACUGGAAUUACAGGUACCCACCACCACUCCCAGCUAAUUUUAUUUUUUUUGGUGUUUUUUAAUAGACACAGGGUUUCAUUAUGUUGGCCAGGCUGGUCUUGAACUCCUGACCUCAAGUAAUCCACCCAUCUCCGCCUCUCAAAGUGCUGGGAUUACAGGUGUGAGUCACUGUGCCUGGCCCAGUUUUUAGAAGAGACAGUGGCAACAGAGGAAAGUAAGAUGUGACUGGGCUUCUAAAAAUGAAGAGAAUUGUUUUUUUAAGAGCAAAAAGGGGAGAAAUCGAAGCAGAAGAAAUAAUAUCAACAGUAACUUAAAAUGUGGCAGUUGUAUUAGUUUCCUAAGGUUGCUGUAACAACAACAAAAAGUACUGGAGAGCUGGGUGGCUUAAAACAGUAGAAAAGUAUUGUCUCACAGUUUAGAAAUUAGAAAUUGAGGUGUCGGCAGGGCCAUGCUUCCUCUGAAAGCUUCAGAAGAAUCCUUCCUUGCCUUUUCCUAGCUUCUGAGUUUGCUGGCAAUCUG